rnacentral:rRNA from 1 species
CUUAAAUUGAAGAGUUUGAUCAUGGCUCAGAUUGAACGCUGGCGGCAGGCCUAACACAUGCAAGUCGAGCGGAAACGAGUUAUCAGAACCUUCGGGGGACGAU